rnacentral:lncRNA from 1 species
UGCAUAACUGUGGGAGAAUAGUAAGCACUGGACACAAAAUGGUUUAGGCAAAUAAUGAUGAAUAAAAAUGUUCAUUCUGUGUUCCUGCCCACCCAGCACAGUGGGGACGCUGUGUAGGACGUGACCUUUGGGGGAAGGGAACACAAGAACUCAGCGUGGGGGAUUCGGAAAAGAAGUCACACACGUAUUGAAGCCAGGAACACCAAGCCAGUGAAUUCUCCUUGAGGAGAAAGACCCACUUACUCUGCAAAAGAGAUAUAUGACAGCUGACAAUCCCUGGAGGAGAAUCUUUCUACUAAAUUGGUAAGGGAUGCUAAGCAAAUGAUGUGGACUCAGGAAACAACGCAUUUCAUAAUAUAUGGUUGCCUCUCAAGGUGAAUUCGAGACCCCUCUUGAAUUACAAAGAGUUGAAAACAUUCAAGUACGGAAUAAACCAUUACUGCGAAUACGCUCCUAUGACACAAGAACAAUCUCUGAGCUUCUUUGAGGAUGUCCAGAUGACUGCUGACUGCACUAAUUGCAUCAAUCAUGCAUCCAUACAGGUUAUUUCUAUAAAAUAGUGGUCGCUAGUUAUGAGGCAUUAAGCCUUCAUGGAUAUAGACAGACUAUUCCACCUAAGUGAUCUGGCAGAAGCUUAGUUUUCUACCACAACAUCCACCGUCCUCCCUCCCUCCCUUCCUAGCUGGUCAGAAAAGCUACUCAGAAUAAAGACUACAUUUCCCAGCCAUCUUUGCAGCUAGGUUUAUCCACCUGACUAAAUUCCACCGGCGUCUAUUCAACAAAGACAAAUCCUGGAAAGGGGAUGGAAAUGAUGGCUCACGUCUUAGCAAACUACCAAACUGAUCCGAGAGGACAGGGAAGUCAGUGUGGGCGGCUCUAAGGAGCCUCCCUCUCUACAGCUGCGGCUCAGAGGAUUACGGCGCUUCAUCCACAAGGCAACAUUGCACAAGUAGCUUUUGAACAAAAGUCAUGGAUACUAUUAAUGAUAUGGUAAUCCUUAAUCGAGCUACCUCCCAGUAGUGAUUAUACUGACAUGGGAAGAAUAUCUAAGUCGUGGAGGCAGCCCACAACAACACUGUGUCAUUGUUCACCCCGGGCUCGACCAGGACUAACUUUUACCAGCAUCUCUAACGUCACCUUUCCCUUGAUGCCUCCCCACAACCCCUGGCCCCAGCUCCCACUCCCACCCCAUCAUAGCAAAAAAGUAGCAAAGAAAACCCUGAUCCUAAAUCUUUUUUAGAUUCGUUUUUGCAAGUUCCCACACACAUUUAGUGUCGUCUCAAAAUUCACGCUGUCAACUGUCUCUAGGAAUCAUUUCCAACUGAGAACAGACCACACAAAGACACAGUGAAACUCGGUUUCUGCAGAAUUUGAUUUCAUUUGAGUUACUGGGGAACAAAGCAAUUAGACAAUGAAUAAUAGCUCAAGACAGGCUAAAGCUGAAGAUUUCUGCAAAAGAAUGAAGAGGAAACGUUUUGAUCCUGAGCAGGUGUUCUCCCUAGAUUGCUUAACCUGAGGUUGAUUGACUUUUGGAAACGAGAUUUGUUCCCAGUGCUUUGUGAGUCUCUUGUUGGAAGGACUGUCUUUAAAUUAAAGCAAUUAGAGUUACUUUAUGAGAUUUACCCAGAUAUAAGAGCUGAAGAGAAUAAUUCAAAUUGAUCAGAAGAAAAUACUCAAUUACUGACAAAUAUCAAUUACAUCAAUAGCCUAGGCUGCUCUUGAACUCCUGGGCUCAAACGAUCCUCCCCCGUCGGCCUCCCAAAGUGCUGGGAUUACAAGCAUGAACCACCAUGCCCAGCCUCAGACAUUUUUUAAAUGAUAGCUCAUACAGUUUUCUUUUAUAAAG